rnacentral:rRNA from 1 species
GACCCGCGGUGCAUUAGCUAGUUGGUGAGGUAACGGCUCACCAAGGCGACGAUGCAUAGCCGACCUGAGAGGGUGAUCGGCCACAUUGGGACUGAGACACGGCCCAAACUCCUACGGGAGGCAGCAGUAGGGAAUCUUCGGCAAUGGACGAAAGUCUGACCGAGCAACGCCGCGUGAGUGAAGAAGGUUUUCGGAUCGUAAAACUCUGUUGUUAGAGAAGAACAAGGAUGAGAGUAACUGUUCAUCCCUUGACGGUAUCUAACCAGAAAGCCACGGCUAACUACGUGCCAGCAGCCGCGGUAAUACGUAGGUGGCAAGCGUUGUCCGGAUUUAUUGGGCGUAAAGCGAGCGCAGGCGGUUUCUUAAGUCUGAUGUGAAAGCCCCCGGCUCAACCGGGGAGGGUCAUUGGAAACUGGGAGACUUGAGUGCAGAAGAGGAGAGUGGAAUUCCAUGUGUAGCGGUGAAAUGCGUAGAUAUAUGGAGGAACACCAGUGGCGAAGGCGGCUCUCUGGUCUGUAACUGACGCUGAGGCUCGAAAGCGUGGGGAGCAAACAGGAUUAGAUACCCUGGUAGUCCACGCCGUAAACGAUGAGUGCUAAGUGUUGGAGGGUUUCCGCCCUUCAGUGCUGC